rnacentral:rRNA from 2 species
UAGGGAAUCUUCGGCAAUGGACGAAAGUCUGACCGAGCAACGCCGCGUGAGUGAAGAAGGUUUUCGGAUCGUAAAACUCUGUUGUUAGAGAAGAACAAGGACGUUAGUAACUGAACGUCCCCUGACGGUAUCUAACCAGAAAGCCACGGCUAACUACGUGCCAGCAGCCGCGGUAAUACGUAGGUGGCAAGCGUUGUCCGGAUUUAUUGGGCGUAAAGCGAGCGCAGGCGGUUUCUUAAGUCUGAUGUGAAAGCCCCCGGCUCAACCGGGGAGGGUCAUUGGAAACUGGGAGACUUGAGUGCAGAAGAGGAGAGUGGAAUUCCAUGUGUAGCGGUGAAAGGCGUAGAUAUAUGGAGGAACACCAGUGGCGAAGGCGGCUCUCUGGUCUGUAACUGACGCUGAGGCUCGAAAGCGUGGGGAGCAAACAGG